AUGGAGACAGCGGCGGCGGCGACUGGACAGGGGAGGAUCCUUAGAAAAAUAAGGUUUCGUCUUAAGUUACUAGGGAUGGACUAUACCUCUUUAUCUUUACCUGCUAAUAAACCACCGAUCGCUUCUGGUCGUACGUCGUGGGUAAUUUUGCAGAAAAGUCCCUGUGCUCUUUUGUAUUCAACCCGCAGUCCAAAGCGAACCGGUAUGAAGGGAAAAAAACAUAGCCAGGCUUUGCCUCGGGCCGCUUCCUGCCCCGCCCCGCGCCGCCGGCCGCUUCCUGCCCCGCCCCGCCCGCGCCUCCGACUACCUCCUGCCCGGCCCCGCCCGCGCCGCCGGCCACCUCCUGCCCCGCCCCAUCUCCUCCUCAUCCGCGGAUUUCUUCGCUGUACACGGCUCCCCUGCACCUACUGGUCGCGACCUCACGGUAGGCAGAGAGGAUGGGAGGGUGCGGCGCUCGCGCCCGGAUCCCGGAGCUCGAGCGGACCGAUCUGCGCGUCGGCGACCUCGCGGUAG
rnacentral:rRNA from 1 species